GAACUGUAAUUCUUGAUGGUUGAACUUUUCCCCAAGUCCUGGGGAAAAAAAUAAUGAGUAGAAUGUUCUCAACUUACAGUCUUCUCCCAUGCAGUCUUCUUAAAUCUUUUUAUCUACUGCCCGUGUCUAACUGAACAGGCAACAAGACUUGAGAUGGAGACUCUGGGGGUGGAUGAAUGGGGGUCAGCAGCUGCUCUCUUCCUCCUCCCCCCAAAACUCAAAUAAAACGCAGAGAUUUCAACCAGUCUAAUAAGACUAUGGAGAUAAGAUCUACUUUUCCUUUUUUUUUUUUCGCUUGAAUUUUAAAACAAUUUCUUAUGAUAAAAUGAAAUCUAUCAGAACUCCAUGAGGAGCUCACAUGGCUGGCUGCACUUCAGGACUCAGGAGAAUCUCUCAGCCCAAAGCCCUCAUUUCACAGAGGAAGCAGCCCAGGCCCAGAAAGGUGAGGUGAGAGAGCAGAGCAACAGGGCUGGUAACUGGAAGAGCUGGGCCCUUCUCCCAUCAGCUCCCGUCACAUCCGGUCCAGCCUGUGUCACAUCCGGUCCAGCCUGUGUCACUUCUGGUCCAGCCUGUGCUGCUUCCAGGACUACAGACGAGUUCUCCCAGGUGAAAGUCCAUCCAUGCAAACAUUCUCCUUUGACUGAGACAUGCCAUGUCCGGAAGCCAUCUGUUCAGGGGUUUGUCUCCUGAGAUGCUGACACCAAGGUGGCAUUAAAUGAGGGAAGAUUUUGUGAGGGAAUCUGCCCACGAGGAAACAUCGGGAAAGGGAAGAGGACGCAGGGAAAGCCAUGAAGCUGCCAAGUGAGUCAGCCCCCAGGUGAAGAGGAGAGGGAGAUGGACAGAUGCCAGGAGGACACUGGCUCUGAAGGUACGCAUAUCUCUGGCAACCCCCUCCCCGCUCCUGUCCUGCAGAGGGGUUCGUGUUUCCCAGACCAGUGUGUGCCUCGGAGCCCUUCUCUGCUUCGUCAUUGGUCAGGAGCAGCCUUCAGAAUCACAGCCUCAGCACAGAACUGGGUCUCACAUUCUGGCAGUAAUACAGAUAUAUAAAAGAAUAUAUAUACCCAUGCACGCACAAUGGGUGUAUACAUAUUCUUUUAUAUAACUGAAAAUUCCCUUGUAGGUUAUUAUAAAAGAUUGAGUUCCUUGUGCUCUACAGUUGCACAGUUUCACCCUCAUGGAAUGGGAGUCUGGGAGGCCCCCGCUAAACCACCACCCCACAUGAUCUUGUCCCACCCCGGGACUUUUCUCUUUGACUUUCACGCCCAAGUCGUCUUCCCAUCACAGGUGAGAGGUAAUCUCCCUGUGAGGCCUGCACCUGCCACUUGCUCCGCCUGGGUCGCUUUCCCUGAAGAUUAGCUUGGCUUCGGUCCCUCAUCAAACCCCUUCUCCACUUCCUGUUUCAGGGAGGCCGAUCCCAGCUCCAUGUUUUUAGUAUGUCUACCUGCAUCUCCCAUACGUGCUCUACUGUGGCCCUUCAUCUGUGUGUCCUCCCUUGUUUGUGACAGGCUGCGUAACUACUGACUUACUAUGUCUGUUUUAAUGGCCCGUGUCCCUCCCUGGAAUGUCAGCUGCAUGAGCACAGUGGUCUUGGUUUUGUGUAUUAAUAUGAUCCAAGUUCCCCGAACACUGUCAUGCACAUGCUGCUGCUGCUGCUGCUAAGUCGCUUCAGUCAUGUCCGACUCUGUGCAAC
rnacentral:lncRNA from 1 species